rnacentral:tRNA from 1 species
AGAAAUAUGUCUGAUAAAAGAGUUACUUN